CUGCUAUCCUAGCUGGAUUGUAAGAAAUUGGUCCUUAUACAAAAACAGGAAACAUAUGAUCAAUAACCAUAAUUAAAGAAAGGAUAAUAGAAUUUAACAAGUAAAAUCAAAGAAUGUUGAAAAUAAGACGAACGUGCCAUGAUCGUUAAGAAAAGGAAAUAAAGUCUAUGACACCUGGUCGCUUAAGUAAGGUAAAAAUAUAUUGCGUUGUAAAAACAGGAUUACAAGGCAAUAUGUGCCGUCAAUGUGUAAAUCAUUAAUUUUAAAUUUAAAUAAAAAAGUAAUUGGUGAAAGCGGAGAACU